rnacentral:rRNA from 1 species
UAUUUCGAACCGCAUGGUUCGAUAGUGAAAGAUGGUUUUGCUAUCACUUAUAGAUGGACCCGCGCCGUAUUAGCUAGUUGGUAAGGUAACGGCUUACCAAGGCGACGAUACGUAGCCGACCUGAGAGGGUGAUCGGCCACACUGGAACUGAGACACGGUCCAGACUCCUACGGGAGGCAGCAGUAGGGAAUCUUCCGCAAUGGGCGAAAGCCUGACGGAGCAACGCCGCGUGAGUGAUGAAGGUCUUCGGAUCGUAAAACUCUGUUAUUAGGGAAGAACAUACGUGUAAGUAACUGUGCACGUCUUGACGGUACCUAAUCAGAAAGCCACGGCUAACUACGUGCCAGCAGCCGCGGUAAUACGUAGGUGGCAAGCGUUAUCCGGAAUUAUUGGGCGUAAAGCGCGCGUAGGCGGUUUUUUAAGUCUGAUGUGAAAGCCCACGGCUCAACCGUGGAGGGUCAUUGGAAACUGGAAAACUUGAGUGCAGAAGAGGAAAGUGGAAUUCCAUGUGUAGCAGUGAAAUGCGCAGAGAUAUGGAGGAACACCAGUGGCGAAAGCGACUUUCUGGUCUGUAACUGACGCUUAUGUGCGAAAGCGUGGGGAUCAAACAGGAUUAGAUACCCUGGUAGUCCACGCCGUAAACGAUGAGUGCUAAAUGUUAAGGGGUGUCCGCCCCUUAAUGCUGCAGCUAACGCAUUAAGCACUCCCCCUGGGGAGUACAACCGCAAGGUUGAAACUCACAGGAAUUGACGGGGACCCGCACAAACCGUGGAGCAUGUGGUUUAUUUCUAACAACGCGCAGAACCUUACCAAAUCUUGACAUCCUUUGACAACUCUCCAGAUAGAGCCUUCCUCUUCCGGGGACGAGAUAACAAGUGGUGGAUGGGUGUCGUCAGCUCCUGUCCUGAGAUGUUGAGUUGAGGCUCCACCAACGGAAGCCUUUAACUUAU